GGGGAUUUAGCUCAGUGGUAGAGCGCUUGCCUAGCAAGCACAAGGUCCUGGGUUCGGUUCCCAGCUCCA
rnacentral:tRNA from 1 species